CUGUCUCCGUAUGAGUGAGAUUCAAUUCCGGCUGCAGUGCAGGGAAGUAAUGGCCAAUUAUACACCAAGAUGACUGACCUGUCAUUUCCCUGAUCAGCCCUGGAUCCCUUUUAAAAAAUGGGUGCUGAUUAAAAGCAGUUUUCCAGGUACCGGGUGGAAGAAAGUUAGCAGCCGUACAUCAUGUCUGCCUGUAGCUUGUUCUAAGCUUUUAUAUCCACCCCACUUAAUUAUUAUUAUUUCAUGCAUCAUCGCCCCAUUUGCUAACAAAGCUUGCAGACUCUUUGGAGGCAUCAGUUAAAAAUCUAUAGUCCCUCAGGUUGAAACCCUCAGCAGAAGCUUCCUCAUUAGCACAUAUUUCUUGCUGAGAUGUGGCUGUUAUUGCUACUUGCACCCAUUUCAGAUGUCCUCACCUUCACUGGCCGCUGAAUGUUCAAAGCACCAUGGAGAUACCAGCCACAGAGGAGAAUCUGCUAGCACAAAAGCAAGCAACAACCUUGUUGGCCUUCUUCCUUAGCUUUAGCACUCUGAACGAAUGUCCUGCAUUAUAAAGGCAAUUAUAAAGUAAUUGCUCAUUGUGAUUGCCAUUAAACGCAGGCUCUCUGCUUUCAGAAAGGAAGAUGGGAGGAUAGAAUGAGAAAUAAUUGCUGAAUUGAUGCAAAGGUUUAACUAUUAUUGCCAUCUCCUUUCCAACUUCCUUUGUUCAACAAUCCAGCUCAUUAUCAGCUGUUUGGCCAGCAACAUGAAGAGCUAAGUCACCUGCUUGCACAUUAAGGACCACAAUGCAGAAUAAUAAGAAAAAGUAGGUAUAUUUGAUGUCAAUGUUGUACAGGGAUGUCAAACUUAAGGCCCACGGGCUGCAUCUGGCCCGUGGGGUGUAUUGAUCUGGCCUGCGGGGCUGCCCUGGAAAUAGCAAAGGACUGGCCCACAGUGCCUCUUCCAGCGAAAA